rnacentral:rRNA from 1 species
GACGGAGGGUGCUAGCGUUGUUCGGAAUUACUGGGCGUAGAGGGCGCGUAGGCGGCCGCUUGCGUCGGAUGUGAAAGCCCGGGGCUCAACCCCGGAACGGCAUCCGAUACGGGGCGGCUGGAGACCGGGAGAGGAGGGUGGAAUAGCCAGUGUAGAGGUGAAAUUCGUAGAUAUUGGCUGGAACACCGGUGGCGAAGGCGGCUCUCUGGGACGGUACUGACGCUGAGACGCGAAAGCGUGGGGAGCGAACAGG